AAACCCCUUUAUUAUCAAUAAAGGGGGUGUGGGGGAAGGUAAGGAAAGGCUCUUCCAGUUCUCCCAGGACUUGGCUCUGCUCAUGGUUUACCUCUGAUAUCGCUAGCUGGAGAUCCAGUAUGCAGAUAUUCACAAAGCAACACUUGUUUCGGACGACUUCGUUGAACAUGAAAAUUUCCUAGGUACACAAAUCUCACAGGAGCUGCAGAAGGCGCAGAAAAGGAAAACACUGGAGAAAAUAUCAGUAGGCCGGUGUAAUCGAAGUGCUCCCCUUUUGCUGGAACACUGCAGAGAUGCCUGAGGUCCGGGACCUUUCAGAGGCCUUGCCAGAGAUGUCUAUGGAUCCAAUCACUGGAGUUGGAGUGGUGGCUUCCAGGAACAGGGCCCCAUCUGGAUAUGAUGUGAUAUCUAUAACAACAGAUGGCCUAGAUGCAGACUUGUGGAAAGAUGGCCUUUUCAAAUCCAAGGUGACCCGUUAUCUGUGUUUCACCAGAGUUUUCUCUAAAGAAAAUGUAAGUCAGCUUCCUUUAUCAAUAAACACAAAGAAAAUAUUUAGCAUGUAUGAGCACUUUUAAUCUGUCUCUCAAAUCAGAAGAGUAACAGAGUUUUCAAUGUCUAUGGCAA